rnacentral:rRNA from 1 species
UACGGAGGGUGCAAGCGUUAUCCGGAAUUACUGGGUUUAAAGGGUGCGUAGGCGGCAACGUAAGUCAGAAGUGAAAUCUCUCGGCUCAACUGAGGAACUGCUUUUGAUACUGCGUAGCUUGAAUAAGGUUGAGGUUAGCGGAAUGUGGCAUGUAGCGGUGAAAUGCUUAGAUAUGCCAUAGAACACCAAUUGCGAAGGCAGCUGGCUAGACCUUUAUUGACGCUGAGGCACGAAAGCGUGGGGAGCGAACAGG